UGGGGAAUAUUGCACAAUGGGCGCAAGCCUGAUGCAGCCAUGCCGCGUGUGUGAAGAAGGCCUUCGGGUUGUAAAGCACUUUCAGCGGGGAGGAAGGCGAUAAGGUUAAUAACCUUGUCGAUUGACGUCACCCGCAGAAGAAGCACCGGCUAACUCCGUGCCAGCAGCCGCGGUAAUACGGAGGGUGCAAGCGUUAAUCGGAAUUACUGGGCGUAAAGCGCACGCAGGCGGUCUGUCAAGUCGGAUGUGAAAUCCCCGGGCUCAACCUGGGAACUGCAUUCGAAACUGGCAGGCUAGAGUCUUGUAGAGGGGGGUAGAAUUCCAGGUGUAGCGGUGAAAUGCGUAGAGAUCUGGAGGAAUACCGGUGGCGAAGGCGGCCCCCUGGACAAAGACUGACGCUCAGGUGCGAAAGCGUGGGGAGCAAACAGG
rnacentral:rRNA from 1 species